UACGUAGGCAGCGAGCGUUGUUCGGAGUUACUGGGCGUAAAGAGUGCGUAGGCGGUGCUCUAAGUUUGGUGUGAAAUCUCCCGGCUCAACUGGGAGGGUGCGCCGAAAACUGGAGUGCUCGAGUAUGGGAGAGGUAAGCGGAAUUCCUGGUGUAGCGGUGAAAUGCGUAGAUAUCAGGAGGAACACCUGCGGUGUAGACGGCUUACUGGACCAUGACUGACGCUGAGGCACGAAAGCGUGGGUAGCAAACAGG
rnacentral:rRNA from 1 species